rnacentral:rRNA from 1 species
GUGAGGAAUUUUCCGCAAUGGGCGAAAGCCUGACGGAGCAAUGCCGCGUGAAGGAUGAAGGCCUAUGGGUUGUAAACUUCUUUUCUCAGAAAAGAAUUAUGACGGUAUCUGAGGAAUAAGCAUCGGCUAACUCUGUGCCAGCAGCCGCGGUAAGACAGAGGAUGCAAGCGUUAUCCGGAAUGAUUGGGCGUAAAGCGUCUGUAGGUUGUUUAAAAAGUAUUCUGUCAAAGAUUAGGGCUUAACCCUAGAUAGGCAGAAUAAACUUUUAAGCUAGAGGUUGGUAGAGGCAGAGGGAAUUCCCGGUGGAGCGGUGAAAUGCGUAGAUAUCGGGAGGAAUACCAAAGGCGAAGGCACUCUGCUGGGCCAAUACUAACACUGAGAGACGAAAGCGAGGGGAGCAAAUGGGAUUAGAAACCCGAGUAGUCC